rnacentral:tRNA from 1 species
GGAUGAUUGCAGUCCAUGGGGGCUAGCAGUCUUGAAAACUGUGCCUACUGAAAGGUAGAGAGGGUUCGAUUCCUUCAUCAUCCGCCA